rnacentral:rRNA from 1 species
UACGUAGGGGGCAAGCGUUGUCCGGAUUUAUUGGGCGUAAAGAGCUCGUAGGCGGCUUGUUACGUCGUUCGUGAAAACUUGGGGCUCAACCCCAAGCUUGCGGUCGAUACGGGCAGGCUAGAGUGAUGUAGGGGAGACUGGAAUUCCUGGUGUAGCGGUGAAAUGCGCAGAUAUCAGGAGGAACACCGAUGGCGAAGGCAGGUCUCUGGGCAUUAACUGACGCUGAGGAGCGAAAGCAUGGGGAGCGAACAGG